rnacentral:rRNA from 1 species
UACGAAGGGGGCUAGCGUUGCUCGGAAUGACUGGGCGUAAAGGGCGCGUAGGCGGAUGGCACAGUCAGAUGUGAAAUUCCCGGGCUUAACCUGGGGGCUGCAUUUGAUACGUGUUGUCUAGAGUGAGGAAGAGGGUCGUGGAAUUCCCAGUGUAGAGGUGAAAUUCGUAGAUAUUGGGAAGAACACCGGUGGCGAAGGCGGCCUUCUGGACAGUGACUGACGCUGAGACGCGAAAGCGUGGGGAGCAAACAGG